rnacentral:rRNA from 1 species
GGAGGAAAGCAGGGGAUCGUAAGACCUCGCGUUAUUGGAGCGGCCGAUGCCGGAUUAGCUAGUUGGUGGGGUAAAGGCCCACCAAGGCGACGAUCCGUAGCUGGUCUGAGAGGACGACCAGCCACACUGGGACUGAGACACGGCCCAGACUCCUACGGGAGGCAGCAGUGGGGAAUUUUGGACAAUGGGCGCAAGCCUGAUCCAGCCAUGCCGCGCGAGUGAAGAAGGCCUUCGGGUUGUAAAGCUCUUUCGCAAGGAAAGAAAACUUAUCCGCUAAUACCGGGUGAGGUUGACGGUACCUUGAUAAGAAGCACCGGCUAACUACGUGCCAGCAGCCGCGGUAAUACGUAGGGUGCGAGCGUUAAUCGGAAUUACUGGGCGUAAAGCGUGCGCAGGCGGUUUCGUAAGUCUGAUGUGAAAUCCCCGGGCUCAACCUGGGAACUGCGUUUGAAACUACAAAGCUAG